rnacentral:rRNA from 1 species
GAUGAACGCUGGCGGCGUGCCUAAUACAUGCAAGUCGAGCGAACAGACGAGGAGCUUGCUCCUUUGACGUUAGCGGCGGACGGGUGAGUAACACGUAGGUAACCUACCUAUAAGACUGGGAUAACUUCGGGAAACCGGAGCUAAUACCGGAUAAUAUUUCGAACCGCAUGGUUCGAUAGUGAAAGAUGGCUUUGCUAUCACUUAUAGAUGGACCUGCGCCGUAUUAGCUAGUUGGUAAGGUAACGGCUUACCAAGGCAACGAUACGUAGCCGACCUGAGAGGGUGAUCGGCCACACUGGAACUGAGACACGGUCCAGACUCCUACGGGAGGCAGCAGUAGGGAAUCUUCCGCAAUGGGCGAAAGCCUGACGGAGCAAUGCCGCGUGAGUGAUGAAGGUCUUCGGAUCGUAAAACUCUGUUAUUAGGGAAGGACAAACGUGUAAGUAACUGUGCACGUCUUGACGGUACCUAAUCAGAAAGCCACGGCUAACUACGU